GCCGGAGUAGCUCAGCCUGGUUAGAGCGCCAGAUUCAUAACCUGGAGGUCGGGAGUUCAAAGCUCCCCUCCGGCA
rnacentral:tRNA from 1 species